CAUUGGCUUUCCAGUUACCCACAUUGCCCCACUUCACUAAUAGAUGUGUGUGCUAGGGUUAUUUUGUUUAUUCACGGCUACUCUCACAACUCAUCCCUUUUGCCAGUAUUUACAUUGGUUUUCCUGUACCACUGAAAUUUAAAUUGAAAGUACUCACUCUAAAUUGCAAAACUCUCAGCAAUCCCACUAGUCAUCAGAUCCCAGUUCAAUUAAGAAAUACCUUCUUUCUCAUUCUUUCUGCUCUUCGAGUGACCUUCUUUUGUCCACCAUUCAUUUCAACAUUGCUACUUCUCAU